AGUGAACGCUGGCGGUAGGCCUAACACAUGCAAGUCGAACGGCAGCACAGUAAGAGCUUGCUCUUACGGGUGGCGAGUGGCGGACGGGUGAGGAAUACAUCGGAAUCUACUUUUUCGUGGGGGAUAACGUAGGGAAACUUACGCUAAUACCGCAUACGACCUACGGGUGAAAGCAGGGGAUCUUCGGACCUUGCGCGAUUGAAUGAGCCGAUGUCGGAUUAGCUAGUUGGCGGGGUAAAGGCCCACCAAGGCGACGAUCCGUAGCUGGUCUGGGAGGAUGAUCAGCCACACUGGAACUGAGACACGUUCCAGACUCCUACGGGAGGCAGCAGUGGGGAAUAUUGGACAAUGGGCGCAAGCCUGAUCCAGCCAUACCGCGUGGGUGAAGAAGGCCUUCGGGUUGUAAAGCCCUUUUGUUGGGAAAGAAAAGCAGCAGGUUAAUACCCCGCUGUUCUGACGGUACCCAAAGAAUAAGCACCGGCUAACUUCGUG
rnacentral:rRNA from 1 species